GCAUUGGUGGUUCAGUGGUAGAAUUCUCACUUUCCAUGCAGGAGACCCAGGUUUGAUCCUGGCCAAUGCA
rnacentral:tRNA from 1 species